rnacentral:rRNA from 1 species
AUUGAACGCUGGCGGCAGGCCUAACACAUGCAAGUCGAGCGGUAGCACAGAGAGCUUGCUCUCGGGUGACGAGCGGCGGACGGGUGAGUAAUGUCUGGGAAACUGCCUGAUGGAGGGGGAUAACUACUGGAAACGGUAGCUAAUACCGCAUAACGUCGCAAGACCAAAGUGGGGGACCUUCGGGCCUCAUGCCAUCAGAUGUGCCCAGAUGGGAUUAGCUAGUAGGUGGGGUAAUGGCUCACCUAGGCGACGAUCCCUAGCUGGUCUGAGAGGAUGACCAGCCACACUGGAACUGAGACACGGUCCAGACUCCUACGGGAGGCAGCAGUGGGGAAUAUUGCACAAUGGGCGCAAGCCUGAUGCAGCCAUGCCGCGUGUGUGAAGAAGGCCUUCGGGUUGUAAAGCACUUUCAGCGGGGAGGAAGGCGGUGAGGUUAAUAACCUCAUCGAUUGACGUUACCCGCAGAAGAAGCACCGGCUAACUCCGUGCCAGCAGCCGCGGUAAUACGGAGGGUGCAAGCGUUAAUCGGAAUUACUGGGCGUAAAGCGCACGCAGGCGGUCUGUCAAGUCGGAUGUGAAAUCCCCGGGCUCAACCUGGGAACUGCAUUCGAAACUGGCAGGCUAGAGUCUUGUAGAGGGGGGUAGAAUUCCAGGUGUAGCGGUGAAAUGCGUAGAGAUCUGGAGGAAUACCGGUGGCGAAGGCGGCCCCCUGGACAAAGACUGACGCUCAGGUGCGAAAGCGUGGGGAGCAAACAGGAUUAGAUACCCUGGUAGUCCACGCCGUAAACGAUGUCGAUUUGGAGGUUGUGCCCUUGAGGCGUGGCUUCCGGAGCUAACGCGUUAAAUCGACCGCCUGGGGAGUACGGCCGCAAGGUUAAAACUCAAAUGAAUUGACGGGGGCCCGCACAAGCGGUGGAGCAUGUGGUUUAAUUCGAUGCAACGCGAAGAACCUUACCUGGUCUUGACAUCCACAGAACUUUCCAGAGAUGGAUUGGUGCCUUCGGGAACUGUGAGACAGGUGCUGCAUGGCUGUCGUCAGCUCGUGUUGUGAAAUGUUGGGUUAAGUCCCGCAACGAGCGCUACCCUUAUCCUUUGUUGCCAGCGGUCCGGCCGGGAACUCAAAGGAGACUGCCAGUGAUAAACUGGAGGAAGGUGGGGAUGACGUCAAGUCAUCAUGGCCCUUACGACCAGGGCUACACACGUGCUACAAUGGCAUAUACAAAGAGAAGCGACCUCGCGAGAGCAAGCGGACCUCAUAAAGUAUGUCGUAGUCCGGAUUGGAGUCUGCAACUCGACUCCAUGAAGUCGGAAUCGCUAGUAAUCGUAGAUCAGAAUGCUACGGUGAAUACGUUCCCGGGCCU